AAAUUGAAGAGUUUGAUCAUGGCUCAGAUUGAACGCUGGCGGCAGGCCUAACACAUGCAAGUCGAACGGUAGCACAGAGAGCUUGCUCUCGGGUGACGAGUGGCGGACGGGUGAGUAAUGUCUGGGAAACUGCCUGAUGGAGGGGGAUAACUACUGGAAACGGUGGCUAAUACCGCAUAACGUCGCAAGACCAAAGAGGGGGACCUUCGGGCCUCUUGCCAUCAGAUGUGCCCAGAUGGGAUUAGCUUGUUGGUGAGGUAACGGCUCACCAAGGCGACGAUCCCUAGCUGGUCUGAGAGGAUGACCAGCCACACUGGAACUGAGACACGGUCCAGACUCCUACGGGAGGCAGCAGUGGGGAAUAUUGCACAAUGGGCGCAAGCCUGAUGCAGCCAUGCCGCGUGUAUGAAGAAGGCCUUCGGGUUGUAAAGUACUUUCAGCGGGGAGGAAGG
rnacentral:rRNA from 2 species